rnacentral:rRNA from 1 species
AACGCGAAGAACCUUACCUGGGCUCGAACGGCUUUGGAUCAUCCUUGGAAACAGGGACUUCUCGCAAGAGACCGGAGUCGAGGUGCUGCAUGGCUGUCGUCAGCUCGUGUCGUGAGAUGUUGGGUUAAGUCCCGCAACGAGCGCAACCCUUGUCCUGUGUUGCCACUCCCGCAAGGGAAGCACUCUCAGGAGACCGCCAGCGAUAAGCUGGAGGAAGGUGGGGAUGAUGUCAAGUCAUCAUGGCCUUUAUGUCCAGGGCUACACACGUGCUACAAUGGGCGGUACAAAGCGCUGCAAACCCGCGAGGGGGAGCCAAUCGCAAAAAACCGUUCUCAGUUCGGAUCGCAGGCUGCAACUCGCCUGCGUGAAGCUGGAAUCGCUAGUAAUGGUGUAUCAGAAUGAUACCGUGAAUACGUUCCCGGGCCUUGUACACACCGGAGUA